CUGAAAAUGAACAGUUGGGACUUUACAUGAUUUCUCUUUGUCUCAUUCCCUCAAGAAUGCACAUAUAGACACACAUAUGCCAAUAUCUUUCUUAUGUAGUUCAAGUAUAACUUUGAAUAAAAUGACUUACAUUCAAGGAAGGUCAAAACUAUUGUUCUGAAGCAAAAUGUGCCAAUUCUAGCCAAUAUGUGAAUUGUAAGGGUCAGUAAUCCAUAAACUAUUUGGAUGGUAAUUGUAUGUUUUAUUAAUGUGAUGUAAUUUUGCACUAUUGUAUUGUCAUAUUUAAUCAAACUCUUAAAAAUACCCUGAAAUGUAAUGCCAAAUGUACAGUUUAUAGGUUCAUGUUAUUUCUGAUAAGAAUUUAAUUGCAUUGUGCUAAUAGUUGUUUCUUGCUAUUAACUUUCUGUGUAUGUAUUAUUGCGAUGCAGACCCAAUAGGGUUAUUUUAAGCACACUAAUUAGUCAUCUGGAUUUUUAUAGAUAAAAAUCACACAUUGAUCAGAAAUCAUUUUUCUAUUUAUUUUUUUGUAGAGUAUUUUUCCACACUUGAAAAAAAAACAUGAUUAUUUUAUAUCAAACAUCGGCUUUUCUUUAAAAUCUUAUUUUAGUAGCUAAUGCAUGUUUGAAAUAAGAUGUGUUAGAAAUUAUAUGACUAUAUUAAGGUUGUGUUUAUAUUAGGUGAAAAAAUGCAUGCAGUUGGUGAAUCAUGCAGCUUUGGGGACAUUUGCACUGCCACUCACACACAGGCUCUGUCUCAAUCCAUUUGCAUGAUUCACGUCCUUUCAAAAGUCCUUUUUCAACAUUUGGUAAAGUGAAAAUGCUAUUCUUAGUGCUAAUGAGCCGAUAAACAAUGCUGCAUUUCUUUUUUCUAACUUUGCAGCAUAUUGUGGUAAAUUUUCUCCCAAAACUUUAUUUUUGGAGUUAUUGUUGGCAAUAAAUACAACAAAUUAUUUGUUGGCAAGUGAUACAAUUUACUGUAUAGCAACUUUAUAGCAUAAAGCAUGAAGAUGUGAAAAUAUCAUCUUAACCAGUUUCAUUCUAUGAACAUAAUAUUCUGGCAGCUUUUUCUAUAAUGAGAAUAGUAUAUCUUUUUAUACACUGCCAAAAUCAGUACUACUGCCAGUCACCUGAGGUCAGGUCUGCACAACAGUAAAUUGGGCAAUAACAUAGAACAUCUAGGCAGCCUUGACAGUCAACCAGUGUAAUCACCAGGGGAAGAAAAAGUAGGCCUACCCUUUUACUUAGUAACUUAAGUAAUAAAAAUUGUAUAAAAAUACAAAUGUUGGCUGCAGAGGAGCCUUUGCAUGCAGAUAAUUUACAGCAGUCUUUGAAAAUAACAAAAAAUAUUCCAUUUAAUGAAGGGUUUGUUUUGUUUAGUUUUUCUCUUUUAUUCAGAAAAUACACCUGUUCUUUUGAAAGGGCUUAAUUCCAAACAGGUAAUAUAUGUGGAUGAAUCAUCUCUCCUCCUAUGAAAUUAAUCAUUCAUAGUAAUAUAUUAAGGCUAGAAAGUAGCUCUUAGUGACUUAAAACAUGAUGUAAGCAUUUACACUGUUGGAAGGUAAUUUCAUUGCAAUGUUAUUAAAAUGAUGGGAAUCCUAUUUAUAAAUUUAUUUAUUUAUUUAUUUACAGAAGAUUGGUUCCUUCCAGUUCAAUUUAACAGCUUCAGUGAAGUUAGUAUAAUGAUAAGAAAAAAUUGACUCUGGCUAUUAUUCCAAGUGAAAUUCAUGCAGCUGAGUCCUGCUGCAUCCUGGGAGUAAAGCAUUAAUUCAAAUGAGGAGUAGCCAGUCCUAGCACUGUAGAUGCCAACUUUACCAACCAAGAUAUGGUAAGUGUGUGACAUUCAGCUAGCAUUGAUCUGGGCACUUAGUUUGCUACCACAUUGUUCCCUUCAUUGAUUAAACUGUAAAUAACAUAACACUUUAAGGCAGCUAAGCAAAUAUUUUAAUAAGCCAUGAAAGGCAAGAUACCAGAGGAAAUCUGUAUAUUCAGCUAUUUGGAGAACUUGUGUUUUCCACAAAUUAAACUGGAGAUGUCAUUUGAAAUUUUCUUCCCUUAAACAUGCUGUCACAAAUGGAUUCCUGCUCAUGGAUGUCUUUCUAGGCUUAUAAAUACACGAUGUGAUUGCUAUAAUUUUGUGAAAUUUUGUUCAGCAAUUAAUAGUGACUUCAGCAAUAUGUAAGAUUCCAAGGCAGACAUAAAUGUAUAAAGGAUUUGAGCCUGUGUGUGUAAGAAGAAACUCUUCAGUCAUAUUUCCUAAAUUCAGUGUAAGUACCUCGCUGAUUUAGCACUGGAGUUAUUCCUUGAAUGUGUAAAUAAUGAUGUUCUAUUCUGACCUAAUGAAUUCCUGUAAUGUGAAUAUUUAAAAUAAAAGAAUUCAAUUUAAAUG
ensembl:lncRNA